rnacentral:misc_RNA from 1 species
AAGUCGUAACAAGGUUUCCGUAGGUGAACCUGCGGAAGGAUCAUUAACACGUUAACUCGUUUUCUGACCCAUCCAUAUCCGUGCACCCGGCCUCCCGACCUUUCCUCUCAGUUUAUUCUGUCUGUGAUCGUGCCGGGCGCCUUCGGGGUUCAUAGAAAUCUUUUGAAGUUUGACACCAGUAGGCGAGAAGCUUACUCAAGUGCUAAACAUCGAGGUUUUUCCCGUUGGCGUUGCCAAACAACCCCACCCUUAAAUCUAAUUGCUCUAAACUCUUUAGUUGCGGUAAAACGUAACGAAUUAAAAACAAACAACAACUCUUAACAACGGAUAUCUUGGUUCUC